rnacentral:lncRNA from 1 species
UAGGAACCGUUCACUGAUGAAUUCUAGAAGACACAGGUCUGGGAUGGCCCUGUGGACACAACUCCUGAAAUGAGACCGAAUGACUGCAGAGACUGGCGCCACUGAAAAACAGAGGGAAAGAAAGGGCUUAUCGGAGAGUCCUCAGAUUAUGAUGAAAAUUCUUCAGGCAUUUAAAAGUCGACUUGUGAGAAGCCGCUGUAACCGUGCCAAGAGCCAGCUCUGUGGACCUCAGGAAUCUCAUGCUUCCAUCUCUGCUGCUGCCAACACCACGGUCAUGUUUUAUGUGUGCCCGUGUGAAUGGGGCCUCUGGGGAUCACAGACCCAGCUCCCCUCCCAGGUAGCGCCCUGCCCCAUGCAGGACUCUUCUCAACCCCAUGCUUCUAUAUCUGUGGGGAAGGUUGUUCCAAGCCCUUCCGGCCAAUGACACUCAGGCUUUUGGGUUGGGCAAAUUCUCAGGUCCCUCCGUGCCAUCCUACCCACUCUGGAGGGACUAACUAGUAUUUCUCUUAUAGCACUGAAAAAUAAAAUUUAUUUUGGGCCUCACAGAGCUCUAGGGACCACGUGGCUGUGUCAGCCCCAGGAGGAGGCAAGGAAAGGGUCCCUAUGGAGCCCAAAUCCGACAGGCAGAAGCCAGGUCAGAUGGUGCCCUGAGAACGUGCAGUCUAGAAGACCCAACCUGAGCCCUGACAACCCUCACCAGGAACUCAUAAGGAGGUGGGUACAGCACAGAGAGCUGCAGAGAGCACAGGACGGGGGCAGGGCCAAGGCCAGGCCUAGGCCAGGGGCGGGGCCUUCCAGGGCAGGCGGAGGUCAAGGGGGCAGGGAUGAGACUGCCCAUGGGAAAUAAGGGGCACAUAAAACCAUGUGGAACCUAAGCCCCUAGGCCGGCCUCCCUUGGACAGAGAUGCGCAAGAGGCUCAGCCCACAGGGGACUUCUGCUCACGGCCUUCAACUAGAGCCAGGAGCAUGGAACAGGGACCAUACAGGACUGCAACAACUGCACGCAUCUCCUAUCAUCCCCUAGCUGUUACUUUUGUGAGUUUCCAGCAGUCCUACAAUGAUUAACAAUAAGAUUUCUACAAGGAAGGAAGACCCAUGGGAAGCAUAUUUUUCUUUUCUUUUUUUUUUUUUUUUGAGCCAGAGUCUUGCUCCGUUGCCCAGGCUGGAAUACAGUGGUGUAAUCACAGCUCACUGCAGCCUCGACCUCCAGGGCCUAAUCAAUCCUCCCACCUCAGCCUCCUGAGUAGCUAGGACCACAGGCACAUGCCACUAUGCCCAGCUUUUUAAAAAAAACUUUUUUGUACAGAUAAGGCCCCACUAUAUUGCCCAGGCUGGUCUUAAACUCCUGGGCUCAAGCAGUCCUCUUGUCUCCACCUGGGGAGCAUACAUGGGAAGCAGGAAAGGGAUACAUAGUAAGGGAAGCUGAAUCUUUUUAGAGGAAGAGUGACCCCAAAGGAUAAAGUGGGUGGGAGCAAUUGCAGAAGAAGAAAGCAGGCUCCAAGUUCCUAGGGCCUGUAUGGCGGGAACAGAGAAGCCAGAUGGGUCUGGAGGUCCAGGCAGGAGACCAGCCUGUUCCAAGACCCCAUCGUGGAGUCCUUCACCAAUGGCAAAACACUGAUGUGUGGAUGGUGGUGUACACUCAUGGCAUUCAAAAUGUUCCCAAUCCGAAUCGAAAACAUAAUCCUG